rnacentral:rRNA from 1 species
CACCGCGGUUACACGGGGGGCCCAAGUCGAUGUUUUCCGGCGUAAAGGGUGGUUAAUAAUAAUCUUUCAACUAAAGCCGAACAACUUCAAGGCUGUCCUAAAGCAUAUGAAGUAUGGAAGCUCAUCCACGAAAGUGGCUUUAAGAAUUAUGACGCCACGGAAGCUAGGGAA